GUGACUGUAUAGCUAGAGUGUGUCAGAGGGGGGUAGGAAUUCCACGUGUAGCAGUGAAAUGCGUAGAUAUGUGGAGGGAUACCAAUGGCGAAGGCAGCCCCCUGGGGAUAACACUGACGCUCAUGCACGAAAGCGUGGGGAGCAAACAGGAUUUAGAUACCCUGGUAGUCCACGCCCUAAACGAUGCUGACUAGUUGUUCGGGGAUUUACAUCCUGAGUAACGUAGCUAACGCGUGAAGUCAGCCGCCUGGAGGGUACGGUCGCAAGAUUAAAACUCAAAGGAAUUGACGGGGACCCGCACAAGCGGUGGAUGAUGUGGAUUAAUUCGAUGCAACGCGAAAAACCUUACCUACCCUUGACAUGUCACUAACGAAGUAGAGAUACAUUAGGUGCUCGUAAGAGAAAGUGAACACAGGUGCUGCAUGGCUGUCGUCAGCUCGUGUCGUGAGAUGUUGGGUUAAGUCCCGCAACGAGCGCAACCCUUGUCUUUAGUUGCUACGCAAGAGCACUCUAAAGAGACUGCCGGUGACAAACCGGAGGAAGGUGGGGAUGACGUCAAGUCCUCAUGGCCCUUAUGGGUAGGGCUUCACACGUCAUACAAUGGUGCAUACAGAGGGUUGCCAACCCGCGAGGGGGAGCUAAUCUCAGAAAAUGCAUCGUAGUCCGGAUCGUAGUCUGCAACUCGACUACGUGAAGCUGGAAUCGCUAGUAAUCGCGGAUCAGAAUGUCGCGGUGAAUACGUUCCCGGGUCUUGUACGCACCGCCCGUCAUUCCAUGGGAGUGGGUUUUGCCAGAAGCCGUUAGCCUAACCGCAAGGAAGGGGACUGCCACGGCAGGGUUCAUGACCGGGGUAAAGUCGUAACAAGG
rnacentral:rRNA from 1 species